rnacentral:lncRNA from 1 species
ACCAAUGGAACUACAACCCUUGGCAACAAUUCGCAAGAUCAGAGUGUCGCAAGUGGAAGCACCGUCAUGACCAUGUCUUAACUGACGCAGUCAUGCCAAAUGAGGUAAAACCAAGUCGUACUUAUAUGGCUUGGUAUAGAUCAGUUGGAUUUCAAUUCAUCGCCGAUGAUAUGUACCUCUACGACCCACGCCAGACAAGUUACACACAAG